GAUGAACGCUAGCUACAGGCUUGACACAUGCAAGUCGAGGGGAAACGACAUUGGAAGCUUGCUUCCGAUGGGCGUCGACCGGCGCACGGGUGAGUAACGCGUAUCCAACCUGCCCAUCACUUGGGGAUAACCUUGCGAAAGUAAGACUAAUACCCAAUGAUAUCUCUAGAAGACAUCUGAAAGGGAUUAAAGAUUUAUCGGUGAUGGAUGGGGAUGCGUCUGAUUAGCUUGUGGGCGGGGUAACGGCCCACCAAGGCGACGAUCAGUAGGGGUUCUGGGAGCAAGGUCCCCCACAUUGGAACGGAGACACGGUCCAAACUCCUACGGGAGGAAGCAGUGAGGAAUAUUGGUCAAUGGGCGAGAGCCUGAACCAGCCAAGUAGCGUGCAGGAUGACGGCCCUAUGGGUUGUAAACUGCUUUUAUAAGGGAAUAAAGUGAGUCUCGUGAGACUUUUUGCAUGUACCUUAUGAAUAAGGACCGGCUAAUUCCGUGCCAGCAGCCGCCGUAA
rnacentral:rRNA from 1 species